GGAGGGUUGGAUUGUGCUGAGUCUCCAGGCCACUUCUCCCCCAGAUGUUCUGGGCCUCCUGUGACAGAUUAAGAUCCUGCACUUUUUCUUAGGAAUCUCUGUCUUUGAUCUGUUUGUUGUUCUCCUAAAUCUCUUCCAGGGAGCCGGAGGGAGAGGUUCAGGAGGGGAAGGAAAGAAAGCAGAGUAAGUAGGAGGAAGUUACUCGUCUAAAGAGGCAUUUUAGGAUGUUUACACUGAAGGCACCUACAUCUUUACCUCCUUUUGUGUAGCGAAAUGAAGGCCAGCCAUGAUCAGCAAGGCUGGAGAACAGAGAGUCAUUAAAAAGACGGAGUCAUUAGCUGCUGAUGGUGCUGGUCCUGUCCUCCCAUACGGCACAAAGAGGAACGGUCAUGCUCUGUAAUACAGGGAACAUCCAUAUCAGUAUCACCAUUUGAUUGAUGGGAAUCCAAGCUAAGACAGCGACCCACUGGAAGGCCACAGAAGCUGGUAAAUAACAGAGCUGGGAUCCAUGUCUUGAUUCCCAGAUCAACAUCUAUCAUAAAAUAUUAUGCUUUUAGUUUGAAUAAAAUGAUUUCACUCUGUAGAGAAUAAGCCUAAAUUUUGUUCACUCUAUGUACCCUGUCCAUAUAUAGACAACUGAAUUUAAAAAGUGAUGAAUGAUGUCAUAAAGGUUAUUGUCCUUGCUCUCGAAGAGCUUAAUGUCUCAUAGGGAAUAUAACAUAUGUAUGCAAAUACCCAAAAACAAGGCACAAAAAACUGGGUGUGCAGAGAGAGGCUGGACUAUUCCUAAUUGAAAGGCUGCAAGGAAAAAGUGGCAGACAUGACCUGGCACAAAGGGUAGGAUCUGAAAUAGCAUGAGGAAAAGCAUGAGGGAAGAUGUUUGUGAUGGAGUCUUCUUAGUCAACCAAAACCUCCAUAAUUUACUCUUGAUGCUAGUUAACCUUUGUUAUAUAAUGGUUCAUCUUCCCCUGACUAUAAAAGAGUCUAUUUCCAUUUGCUUUGGUUAAUAAUAUCACUAAAACAUUUUUAUGUUUCUUGAUAUAAAUUGUAUAACUGAAGACACAUUAUGCUGAAUUUUAGAGCUAGAGGGAAGACUGGCUUUACAAAUGAGGAGCCUAAAAUCCAGAGAGAUUAAGUAGCUGGAGGCAGGGUGACUACAACUUCUUAAAAAAGUAAAUAUAUGCAAAGUGCUUAGUACAGGGCAUGUCACGGUGAAAGGAUUCUGUGUGUUUGAUAUUGUUAUUUUUUUAUCAUUGUAAUUUUUGCUGGAGGAGUUGGAUCUGGAAUCUGUUUCCUAAUCUGGAAUAGUGUUCUUUCCACUAAGCACAUUACUUCAAAAUAUAGCACUUCUUUACAAUGCACUUCUUCUAAGAGCAAAAGCUGUAUUUUAAUUACAAAACUUAUUAAAUAAAAAUGUAUAUAGAUUCAUUUUGAAAACAGAAAAAUUGAGUCUUUACAAAGAAUAAUCUAUAGCUUUUUGUUUAAA